rnacentral:rRNA from 1 species
CCGACACGGGGAGGUAGUGACGAAAAAUAACAAUACAGGACUCUAACGAGGCCCUGUAAUUGGAAUGAGUACAUUCUAAAACUCUUAACGAGUAUCCAUUGGAGGGCAAGUCUGGUGCCAGCAGCCGCGGUAAUUCCAGCUCCAACAGUGUAUGCUAAAGUUGUUGCGGUUGAAAAGCUCGUAGUUGGAUAUUGGGCGAGCGCGGUCGGUCCGUCGCAGGGCGUGCACUGGUCGCGUUCGCCUCGACUUCGGUUCUCCGUCGGUGCUCUUGACUGAGUGUCGGCGGUGGCCGAGAAGUUUACUUUGAAAAAAUUAGAGUGUUCAAAGCAGGCUGGUCGCCUGUAUAGUGUUGCAUGGAAUAAUGGAAUAGGACCUCGGUUCUAUUUUGUUGGUUUUCGGAACGGAGGUAAUGAUUAAGAGGGACAGACGGGGGUGUCCGUACUCUGCCGUUAGAGGUGAAAUUCUUGGAUCGGCGGAAGACGAACUACUGCGAAAGCAUUCACCAAGAAUGUUUUCUUUAAUCAAGAGCGAAAGUCAGAGGUUCGAAGACGAUCAGAUACCGUCCUAGUUCUGACUAUAAACGAUGCCAACUAGCGAUCGGGAGGCGUUACCAUGACGACCUUCCCGGCAGCUUCCGGGAAACCAAAGUCUUUGGGUUCCGGGGGAAGUAUGGUUGCAAAGCUGAAACUUAAAGGAAUUGACGGAAGGGCACCACCAGGAGUGGAGCCUGCGGCUUAAUUUGACUCAACACGGGGAAACUCACCCGGCCCGGACACAGGAAGGAU